ensembl:lncRNA
CACAGACAGUUAUCCUAUCUGAAGCUCAGUCUCCCCACCCGUAAAACAGACUUAAUCCUCUAUCUUGAUGGCAUUCAUAAUGAGGAUGAAACGAAUCAUGUGUGUCAUGAGCUGAGCAAGGAGCACCACACAGAAGCUGGUUGGUCGCUACUGUGGUUGUUGACAUUUACUGCUGCCUUCAAAUCAUAAAGCAUUCUCAUAGGGUUUGCUUAAAAAUAGAUGGAUUUUCUGAGUUACCGUCGUGGCUCAGCGGAAAUGAAUCUGACUAAUAUCCAUGAGGAUGCAUGUUUGACUUCUGGCCUUGCUCAGUGGGUUAACGAUCUGGCGUUGCCGCGAGCUGUGGCGUAGGUGGAAGAUGUGGCUCAGAUCCCGAGUUGCCGUGGCUGUGAUGUAGGCUGGCAGCUGCAGCUCCGAUUCGACCCCUAGCCUGAGAACCUCCAUAUGCCACAGGUGCAGCCCUAAAAAGCAAAAACAAAAGCAAAAAAAAAGAGGAUGAAUUUCCUUACUGUUUCAAAGGUGAGUUUUGCCCCCACGCUGAGUCUCCCUUCUGUUUGGUUUCUCUUCCCCACUAAUUCCUCCUCCUCUCUCCUUUGCAGAAAGAAAGCUGGUCAUUUAAAAGAAGAAGGGAAACAAAGACGCUCUCAGCAUCCUCUGGCUGCCUUUCCCACCAGCUGCUGUUGCCACGGCUUUUCUAACAACCAGCCACAUGCUGGCCCCAACUUUCCAUCUUUAAUUGCGAGGGAACCUUGGAGCCCUGAGCAAUGAGUAGAGCUGGCCAGCGUCCCCAAGAUUCCACUUUGAACCAGCU